GACGAACGCUGGCGGCGUGCUUAACACAUGCCAGUCGAACGGCAAGGCCCUGCUUUUGUGGGGUGCUCGAGUGGCGAACGGGUGAGUAACACGUGAGUAACCUGACCUUGACUUUGGGGUAACUUCAGGAAACUGGGGCUACUACCGGAUAGGAGCUCCUGCUGCAUGGUGGGGGUUGGAAAGUUUCGGCGGUCGGGGAUGGACUCGCGGCUGAUCAGCUUGUUGGUGGGGUAGUGGCUUACCAAGGCUUUGACGGGUAGCCGGCCUGAGAGGGUGACCGGCCACAUUGGGACUGAGAUACGGCGCAGACUCCUACGGGAGGCAGCAGUGGGGAAUAUUGCACAAUGGGCGGAAGCCGGAUGCGGCAACGCCGCGUGCGGGAUGACGGCCUUCGGGUUGUAAACCGCUUUCGCCUGUGACGAAGCGUGAGUGACGGUAAUGAGUAAAGAAGCACCGGCUAACUACGUG
rnacentral:rRNA from 1 species